CUUGUACCUGGUGGCGAGCGGCGGACGGGUGAGUAAUGCCUAGGAAUCUGCCUGGUAGUGGGGGAUAACGCUCGGAAACGGACGCUAAUACCGCAUACGUCCUACGGGAGAAAGCAGGGGACCUUCGGGCCUUGCGCUAUCAAAUGAGCCUAGGUCGGAUUAGCUAGUUGGUGAGGUAAUGGCUCACCAAGGCGACGAUCCGUAACUGGUCUGAGAGGAUGAUCAGUCACACUGGAACUGAGACACGGUCCAGACUCCUACGGGAGGCAGCAGUGGGGAAUAUUGGACAAUGGGCGAAAGCCUGAUCCAGCCAUGCCGCGUGUGUGAAGAAGGUCUUCGGAUUGUAAAGCACUUUAAGUUGGGAGGAAGGGCAGUUACCUAAUACGUGAUUGUUUUGACGUUACCGACAGAAUAAGCACCGGCUAACUCUGUGGGAGCAGGCGCGGUAAUACAGAGGGUGCAAGCGUUAAUCGGAAUUACUGGGCGUAAAGCGCGCGUAGGGUGGGUGU
rnacentral:rRNA from 1 species